rnacentral:rRNA from 1 species
GGACCGGUGGGUUGGUCGUGCCUCCGGUACGUACUGGUCUUACUGGUUCCUCCCUUCUGAAGAACCACGAUGCCAUUAAUUUGGUGUCGUGGGGAAUCAGGACUGUUACUUUGAAAAAUUAGAAGUGUUUAAAGCAGGCUAAAGCUUGAAUAGAUUAGCAUGGAAUAACGAAAUAGGACGUUUGAUCUUAUUUUGUUGGUUCUAAGAUCGACGUAAUGAUUAAUAGGGAUAGUUGGGC